CCUACGGGUGGCUGCAGUGGGGAAUAUUGGACAAUGGGGGCAACCCUGAUCCAGCCAUGCCGCGUGUGUGAAGAAGGCCCUCGGGUUGUAAAGCACUUUCAGUGAGGAAGAACGCCUGGUGGUUAAUACCCAUCAGGAAAGACAUCACUCACAGAAGAAGCACCGGCUAACUCCGUGCCAGCAGCCGCGGUAAUACGGAGGGUGCGAGCGUUAAUCGGAAUUACUGGGCGUAAAGCGCGCGUAGGUGGCUUGAUAAGCCGGUUGUGAAAGCCCCGGGCUCAACCUGGGAACGGCAUCCGGAACUGUCAAGCUAGAGUGCAGGAGAGGAAGGUAGAAUUCCCGGUGUAGCGGUGAAAUGCGUAGAGAUCGGGAGGAAUACCAGUGGCGAAGGCGGCCUUCUGGACUGACACUGACACUGAGGUGCGUAAGCGUGGGUAGCAAACAGGAUUAGAUACCCUGGUAGUC
rnacentral:rRNA from 1 species